rnacentral:tRNA from 1 species
GCUUAAAUAGUUUAUGUAAAAUUUAAAUUUGUGGAAUUUAAGAAACUUUUAGUUUUAAGCA